rnacentral:rRNA from 1 species
AUGCUAGUUGAUGCAAUUGUUGCCGAAGGGGUUUCUAAAGGUGAUGAGCCAACAAAAGCUGCCAAAAAAUUCUAUGAAAUGUUGAUGGAAGCUGAUAAACCAUUGCAUGAGAAGACCACACAAUCACGUAUAUCCAUUGUAGGAAGGCUAAUGACUAUUAAAACACAACAUAAUUUGUCAGAAGCUUGUUACAAUGAGAUGAUGGCUCUUAUACAUGACAUUGUUGGGGACGAUGCUGCAAAAGAUCUCCCAGCAAGCUUCCAUAGGUCCAAGAAGCUUGUGCAUAGUCUAGCAAUGCCUUAUGUAAAAAUUCAUGCAUGCCCCAAUAAUUGUAUGAUUUACUAUAAAGAGAAUGAAAAUAAAGAAAAAUGCACUAUCUGCAAAGAACCUAGAUAUGAGGAAACAACAGCAGGAAAUAAAUCUACGAAGAUACCAAGAAAAGUUCUGCGCUAUCUCCCAAUUACUCCUAGGCUACAAUGGUUGUACAUGUCACAAAGCACUGCCAAGCACAUGGACUAUCACGCAAGGCCUCGUGACAGUGAUGAAGUAAUGGUUCACCCUUCUCAUGGUGAAGCUUGGAAGGAAUUUAAUAGGGAAUUUAAAAGAUUUGCUGAGGAAGUAAAGAAUAUAAGGCUAUGUCUAGCAACUGAUGGCUUCACACCUUUUGGUAUUAAAGCAGCCUCCUACUCGUGUUGGCCAGUAUUUGUUGUACCUUAUAAUCUUCCACCAGAAAUGUGCAUGAAGCAGAGUAACCUGAUCCUUGCACUAGUUAUUCCCGGUCCAGAUCAUCCAGGAAAGAAUCUGAACGUUUUUAUGCAGCCUCUAGUUGACGAACUUGAUGAUUUGUGGAGAAAUGGUGUAGAAACUUAUGAUAGUUAUCGAAAGCAAAAUUUCACCUUAAAGGCAGCUUUGCUUUGGACCAUUCAUGACUUUCCAGCUUAUGGAUUAGUAGCAUGCUGGAGCACCCAUCGAAAGCUUGCUUGCCCUAUAUGCGGAUCUGACAUAAAGACAUUCUCAUUGAAGAAUGGCAGAAAGCCGUGCUGGUUUGACUGCCACAGGAGAUUCCUUCCCACUAACCAUGCAUUUCAUAGGAGUGUGAAAUGUUUUCGCAAGAAAAAAAUAGUUCUAAAUCCUCCACCAAAGCCCUUGUCCGGAGAAGAGGUGUAUGAACAACUCAAAAGUCUUGUUCAUGACAAAACUGGCAAGAGUAAAUUUGAGGGGUUUGGGAAGGAGCACAAUUGGAUCACUAUAAGUGGUUUGUGGCAACUAGAGUAUUUUUAG